AGCUAUCUGAAUUUCUCCUUCUCCUAAAAAUGCACAUCCUAUGACUGAAAAGACAGGAAAGAUGACAAACUCUAUGGAAACUUGGCUUCUGAAGAACUCCUAGAAGCUUUCCAAAGUCAUCAGUGUUUCCUAAGAAGGCAGAGAAAUCAAACACAUGGUCUUUUCCUCCAGACAAGCUCCUUUGGGUCAUCAGGAUUUCUUCAACAAUAAAAUGUUGCUUCAGAGUCUUCCCUUCUAUCUGAUUCAGUGGACCAAGUAAAUGACUCUCUGGUAACAGAAUUUGUAUUACUUGGACUUGCACAAUCCUUGGAAAUGCAGUUUUUCCUUUUUCUCUUCUUCUCUUUAUUCUAUGUGGGAAUUAUCCUGGGAAAACUCUUCAUUGUGUUCACAGUGAUCUUUGAUCCUCACUUACACUCCCCCAUGUAUAUUCUGCUGGCCAACCUAUCGCUCAUUGACUUGAGCCUUUCAUCUACCACAGUUCCUAGGUUGAUCUACGAUCUUUUUACUGAUUGUAAAGUUAUUUCCUUCCAUAAUUGCAUGAUACAAAAGUUCUUUAUCCAUGUUAUGGGAGGAGUUGAAAUGGUGCUGCUGAUAGUCAUGGCAUAUGAUAGGUACACUGCGAUCUGCAAGCCUCUCCACUAUCCAACUAUUAUGAAUCCCAAAAUGUGCAUGUUUUUGGUAGCAGCAGCUUGGGUCAUUGGGGUGAUUCAUGCUAUGUCUCAGUUUGUUUUUGUCAUAAAUUUACCCUUCUGUGGCCCUAAUAAUGUGGGGAGCUUUUAUUGUGAUUUUCCUCGGGUUAUUAAACUUGCAUGCAUGGACACUUAUGGGCUAGAAUUUGUGGUCACUGCCAACAGUGGAUUCAUAUCGAUGGGCACCUUCUUUUUCUUAAUUGUAUCAUACAUUUUUAUUCUGGUCACUGUCCAACGACAUUCCUCAAAUGAUUUAUCCAAAGCAUUCUUCACUUCGUCGGCUCACAUCACCGUAGUGGUUUUGUUUUUUGCUCCAUGCAUGUUUCUCUACGUGUGGCCUUUCCCUACUAAGUCAUUGGAUAAAUUUUUUGCCAUCAUGAACUUUGUUGUCACCCCUGUCGUAAAUCCUGCCAUCUAUACUUUAAGGAACAAAGAUAUGAAGUUUGCAAUGAGAAGGCUGAAUCAACAUAUUUUAAAUUCUAUGGAGACGACAUAACACAUUUGGUUGAUGAGAGCACAGGAUAAAUGCCAUGGACCAUCAAGACUCCUGUGAUCACCAUGAUCACUAUGGAACGCGCACAUUUUUAGUAUUGCCUGAAAAAACUGAAAAAUCUGCAAAAAGGAUGCAUUAAAUCUAAGAAUUGUAUUUCAGAUAAAGUUGCAACAUUUUUUGUUAAUCAUAAAAAGUAUAUAUUUCUAUCUAAUGUGUGUAUCUAAUUAACAGC
rnacentral:lncRNA from 1 species